rnacentral:rRNA from 1 species
GAGUUUGAUCGUGGCUCAGAAUGAACGCUGGCGGCAUGCCUAACACAUGCAAGUCGAACGAAGGCUUCGGCCUUAGUGGCGCACGGGUGCGUAACGCGUGGGAAUCUGCCCUUGGGUUCGGAAUAACAGUUAGAAAUGACUGCUAAUACCGGAUGAUGUCGUAAGACCAAAGAUUUAUCGCCCAAGGAUGAGCCCGCGUAGGAUUAGCUAGUUGGUGGGGUAAAGGCCCACCAAGGCGACGAUCCUUAGCUGGUCUGAGAGGAUGAUCAGCCACACUGGGACUGAGACACGGCCCAGACUCCUACGGGAGGCAGCAGUGGGGAAUAUUGGACAAUGGGCGAAAGCCUGAUCCAGCAAUGCCGCGUGAGUGAUGAAGGCCUUAGGGUUGUAAAGCUCUUUUACCCGGGAUGAUAAUGACAGUACCGGGAGAAUAAGCUCCGGCUAACUUCGUGCCAGCAGCCGCUGUAAU